AUUGAACGCUAGCGGGAUGCUUUACACAUGCAAGUCGAACGGCAGCGCGGACUUCGGUCUGGCGGCGAGUGGCGAACGGGUGAGUAAUGUAUCGGAACGUGCCCAGUAGCGGGGGAUAACUACGCGAAAGCGUAGCUAAUACCGCAUACGCCCUACGGGGGAAAUCAGGGGAUCGUAAGACCUUGCACUAUUGGAGCGGCCGAUAUCGGAUUAGCUAGUUGGUGAGGUAACGGCUCACCAAGGCGACGAUCCGUAGCUGGUUUGAGAGGACGACCAGCCACACUGGGACUGAGACACGGCCCAGACUCCUACGGGAGGCAGCAGUGGGGAAUUUUGGACAAUGGGGGCAACCCUGAUCCAGCCAUCCCGCGUGUGCGAUGAAGGCCUUCGGGUUGUAAAGCACUUUUGGCAGGAAAGAAACGUCGCGGGCUAAUACCCCGUGGAACUGACGGUACCUGCAGAAUAAGCACCGGCUAACUACGUG
rnacentral:rRNA from 1 species